GGGUGAGUAACACGUGAGUAACCUGCCCUUGACUCUGGGAUAACCUCCGGAAACGGAAGCUAAUACCGGAUAUGACGCACGGAGGCAUCUCCUGUGCGUGGAAAGAACUUCGGUCAAGGAUGGACUCGCGGCCUAUCAGGUAGUUGGUGAGGUAACGGCUCACCAAGCCUACGACGGGUAGCCGGCCUGAGAGGGUGACCGGCCACACUGGGACUGAGACACGGCCCAGACUCCUACGGGAGGCAGCAGUGGGGAAUAUUGCACAAUGGGCGCAAGCCUGAUGCAGCAACGCCGCGUGAGGGAUGACGGCCUUCGGGUUGUAAACCUCUUUUAGUAGGGAAGAAGCGAAAGUGACGGUACCUGCAGAAAAAGCACCGGCUAACUACGUGCCAGCAGCCGCGGUAAUACGUAGGGUGCGAGCGUUGUCCGGAAUUAUUGGGCGUAAAGAGCUCGUAGGCGGUCUGUCGCGUCUGCUGUGAAAACCCGAGGCUCAACCUCGGGCCUGCAGUGGGUACGGGCAGACUAGAGUGCGGUAGGGGAGAAUGGAAUUCCUGGUGUAGCGGUGGAAUGCGCAGAUAUCAGGAGGAACACCGAUGGCGAAGGCAGUUCUCUGGGCCGUAACUGACGCUGAGA
rnacentral:rRNA from 1 species